rnacentral:rRNA from 1 species
AGCGUUAUCCGGAUUCACUGGGUUUAAAGGGUGCGUAGGCGGGAUAGUAAGUCGAUGGUGAAAGCCUGCAGCUUAACUGUAGAAUUGCCAUUGAUACUGCUAUUCUUGAGUGCAGUUGAAGUAAGCGGAAUGUGUAAUGUAGCGGUGAAAUGCAUAGAUACUACACAGAACACCAAUUGUGAAAACAGCUUACUAACCUGUAACUGACGCUGAGGCACGAAAGCGUGGGGAGCGAACAGGAUUAGAUACCCUGGUAGUCCACGCUGUAAACUAUGAUCACUCGCUGUUGGCGAUACACAGUCAGCGGCUAAGCGAAAGCAUUAAGUGAUCCACCUGGGGAGUACGUCCGCAAGGAUGAAACUCAAAGGAAUUGACGGGGGCCCGCACAAGCGGAGGAACAUGUGGUUUAAUUCGACGAUACGCGAGGAACCUUACCUGGGCUUAAAUGCAGCUCGACGGACCGGGAAACUGGUCUUCCUUCGGGCGAACUGCAAGGUGCUGCAUGGUUGUCGUCAGCUCGUGCCGUGAGGUGUCGGGUUAAGUCCCAUAACGAGCGCAACCCCUAUUGUUAGUUGCCAGCGGGUAAUGCCGGGGACUCUAGCAAAACUGCCAGUGUAAGCUGGAGGAAGGUGGGGACGACGUCAAGUCAGCAUGGCCCUUAUGCCCAGGGCUACACACGUGUUACAACGGUCGGAACAAAGGGCAGCUACCACGCGAGUGGAUGCUAAUCUCCAAAUCCGGCCUUAGUUCGGAUCGAAGUCUGCAAUUCGACUUCGUGA